rnacentral:rRNA from 1 species
CAGUCGCCACGGUAAUACGUAGGGUGCAAGCGUUAAUCGGAAUUACUGGGCGUAAAGCGUGCGCAGGCGGUUAUAUAAGACAGAUGUGAAAUCCCCGGGCUCAACCUGGGAACUGCAUUUGUGACUGUAUAGCUAGAGUACGGCAGAGGGGGAUGGAAUUCCGCGUGUAGCAGUGAAAUGCGUAGAUAUGCGGAGGAACACCGAUGGCGAAGGCAAUCCCCUGGGCCUGUACUGACGCUCAUGCACGAAAGCGUGGGGAGCAAACAGGAUUAGAUACCCCCGUAGUCCCUGUCUCUUAUAU